rnacentral:rRNA from 1 species
AGAGUUCGAUCCUGGCUCAGAACGAACGCUGGCGGCGCGUCUUAAGCAUGCAAGUCGGGCGGGAUUCAUAUGCUUGCAUAUGAUGAGAGCGGCGGACUGGCGAGUAACACGUGGGCGACGCGCCCUCCGGACGGGAAUAGCCUGUAGAAAUACAGGGUAAUGCCGGAUGCGAACGCACGGGCUGGAGCCGUGCGUGGAAAGCCCCCACGGGGGCGCCGGAGGAGCGGCCCGCGGCCCAUCAGCUAGUAGGCGGUGCAAGGGACCACCUAGGCUACGACGGGUACCCGGCCUCAGAGGGCGGACGGGCGCAUUGGGACUGAGAUACGGCCCAGACUCCUACGGGAGGCAGCAGCUAAGAAUAUUCCGCAAUGGGGGGAACCCUGACGGAGCGACGCCGCGUGGGCGAGGAAGGCCGGAAGGUUGUAAAGCCCUUUUGCGCGCGAGGAAUAAGGGGAGGAGGGAAUGCCUUCCCGGUGACUGUAGCGCGCGAAUAAGCGCCGGCUAAUUACGUGCCAGCAGCCGCGGUAACACGUAAGGCGCGAGCGUUGUUCGGAAUCAUUGGGCGUAAAGGGCGUGUAGGCGGCCCUGCAAGCCUGGCGUGAAAUCCCGGGGCUCAACCCCGGAACCGCGCUGGGAACUGCGAGGCUUGAGCCGCUGUGGCGCAGCCGGAAUUCCAGGUGUAGGGGUGAAAUCUGUAGAUAUCUGGAAGAACACCGAUGGCGAAGGCAGGCUGCGAGCGGACGGCUGACGCUGAGGCGCGAAGGCGCGGGGAGCGAACAGGAUUAGAUACCCUGGUAGUCCGCGCAGUAAACGAUGCACACUGGGUGUCCGGGCAUGAGCCCGGGUGCCGAAGCGAACGCGUUAAGUGUGCCGCCUGGGGAGUAUGCCCGCAAGGGUGAAACUCAAAGGAAUUGAC